UCCGUUCACCAAGGCUUCAUAUUCGGCCACAUUAUUAGAAGCUUUGAAGUCUAGCCGUAAGGCAUAACAUACUUUAAAGCCCUCCGGCCCUUUAAGUAUUAUCCCAGCGCCACUGCCCUCAGAGCCUGAUGCUCCGUCUACAUAUAGCUUCCAGCUGGACUCUUGGGACAGCUCUCCCUCUCCUUCUUUGCUUGAUAUCUCCGAGGAUGAUCCUUCCUUCUCCUUGUUGAAUGAGCAUUCUGCUAUGAAGUCAGCCAGCGCUUGAGAUUUUAUAGCUGUCCGAGGUCGGUACUCCAGACAGUAAGGGCUGAUUUCCACGGACCAUGCUAACAUCCGUCCUGAAGUUUCCGGCCUACGUAGGAUCUUCUUUAACGGUUGGUNNNNN
rnacentral:lncRNA from 1 species